rnacentral:rRNA from 1 species
UACAGAGGGUGCAAGCGUUAAUCGGAAUUACUGGGCGUAAAGCGUGCGUAGACGGUUAUGUAAGUCGGGUGUGAAAGCCCCGGGCUCAACCUGGGAAUGCCAUUCGAGACUGCAUAGCUAGGGUGCGGAAGAGGGAAGCGGAAUUUCCGGUGUAGCGGUGAAAUGCGCAGAUAUCGGGAGGAACACCUAUGGCGAAGGCAGGCUCGCUGGGACGUUACUGACGCUGAGACGCGAAAGCGUGGGGAGCAAACAGG